CCCCGCCGUAAAUAGCGCCGGGCGCCCAGAGCCAGCCAAGCGCGGCCCCGCCCAGGCCCCGCCUCCACGCUCCGAUUGGCCAACGCCUCUAGCCCCGCGGCCCGGCAGCAGGGGCGGGGCCAGACGCGGGCCCAGGCCGACUAGCCUCCGGGCUGGCGCUGGCGCCGACGUGUAGCGCUGAGGACUUCGGCCGCAGCGCUCCCCCUAGCGGACGCCUGCGCGUGCAGCUGCAGAUGCGCCGGCGGAGCCCAGCUUCUAGAGCUCCACCUUUUCAAUGAGUAAAGGCGAGACCUGAAAAGAUCUGGGGAGCCACACAUCUGCAGAUUUGAACUACCACCAGAAUGUUCUGUGACACCUCAGCUGUUGGAGCCACCAGCAGUCCAGCCAGCACACCCGGUAG